UGCAAGUCGAGCGGUAGCACAGGGGAGCUUGCUCCCUGGGUGACGAGCGGCGGACGGGUGAGUAAUGUCUGGGAAACUGCCUGAUGGAGGGGGAUAACUACUGGAAACGGUAGCUAAUACCGCAUAACGUCACAAGACCAAAGAGGGGGACCUUCGGGCCUCUUGCCAUCACAUGUGCCCAGAUGGGAUUAGCUAGUAGGUGGGGUAAUGGCUCACCUAGGCGACGAUCCCUAGCUGGUCUGAGAGGAUGACCAGCCACACUGGAACUGAGACACGGUCCAGACUCCUACGGGAGGCAGCAGUGGGGAAUAUUGGACAAUGGGCGCAAGCCUGAUGCAGCCAUGCCGCGUGUGUGAAGAAGGCCUUCGGGUUGUAAAGCACUUUCAGCGAGGAGGAAGGUGGUGAGCUUAAUACGCUCAUCAAUUGACGUUACUCGCAGAAGAAGCACCGGCUAACUCCGUGCCAGCAGCCGCGGUAAUACGGAGGGUGCAAGCGUUAAUCGGAAUUACUGGGCGUAAAGCGCACGCAGGCGGUUUGUUAAGUCAGAUGUGAAAUCCCCGGGCUCAACCUGGGAACUGCAUUUGAAACUGGCAAGCUAGAGUCUCGUAGAGGGGGGUAGAAUUCCAGGUGUAGCGGUGAAAUGCGUAGAGAUCUGGAGGAAUACCGGUGGCGAAGGCGGCCCCCUGGACGAAGACUGACGCUCAGGUGCG
rnacentral:rRNA from 1 species